rnacentral:rRNA from 1 species
GAUGAACGCUGGCGGCGUGCCUAAUACAUGCAAGUCGAGCGAACGGACGAGAAGCUUGCUUCUCUGAUGUUAGCGGCGGACGGGUGAGUAACACGUGGAUAACCUACCUAUAAGACUGGGAUAACUUCGGGAAACCGGAGCUAAUACCGGAUGAUAUUUUGAACCGCAUGGUUCAAAAGUGAAAGACGGUCUUGCUGUCACUUAUAGAUGGAUCCGCGCUGCAUUAGCUAGUUGGUAAGGUAACGGCUUACCAAGGCAACGAUGCAUAGCCGACCUGAGAGGGUGAUCGGCAACACAGGAACUGAGACACGGUCCAGACUCCUACGGGAGGCAGCAGUAGGGAAUCUUCCGCAAUGGGCGAAAGCCUGACGGAGCAACGCCGCGUGAGUGAUGAAGGUCUUCGGAUCGUAAAACUCUGUUAUUAGGGAAGAACAUAUGUGUAAGUAACUGUGCACAUCUGGACGGUACCUAAUCAGAAAGCCACGGCUAACUACGU